rnacentral:rRNA from 1 species
GAUGAACGCUGACAGAAUGCUUAACACAUGCAAGUCAACUUGAACUUCGGUUUGGGUGGCGGACGGGUGAGUAACGCGUAAAGAACUUGCCUCACAGUUAGGGACAACAUUUGGAAACGAAUGCUAAUACCUGAUAUUAUGAUUUUAGGUCAUCCUAGAAUUAUGAAAGCUAUAUGCGCUGUGAGAGAGCUUUGCGUCCCAUUAGCUAGUUGGAGAGGUAACGGCUCACCAAGGCGAUGAUGGGUAGCCGGCCUGAGAGGGUGAACGGCCACAAGGGGACUGAGACACGGCCCUUACUCCUACGGGAGGCAGCAGUGGGGAAUAUUGGACAAUGGACCAAGAGUCUGAUCCAGCAAUUCUGUGUGCACGAUGAAGUUUUUCGGAAUGUAAAGUGCUUUCAGUUGGGAAGAAAAAAAUGACGGUACCAACAGAAGAAGUGACGGCUAAAUACGUG